UCCCUUUACCCUCACAGCCGAGUUGUCGGUAUGACGCUUAUUUGGAAUUUGGCGCCAACUGAAACGCGCAGAUGUGAAGUCGAAGUUGCCAAGUCAAAAAGUAAUUUGUUGCUUUCUGUCGUUGGAGUGAACUGUGCCAAAAUACAUUAAUUUCUUCCUCAAUACAGAUUCAAAUAUAGUUCAAAACUGAGUGAUCUAACCGUAAUGAAAUUUACUAAUUUUUUAAGGUUUUAAACAGCAGAAUAACUUUUUAUCAAAAACGACAAAAUUUGACAACAGAGCGGAUCAGCAUGGUGGGUCAAAGCAACAAAGAUUACCCUUCAUAAUAUGACGUCAUUUAGUUCAGUUCUCGUAGUUGUGAUUGUGAGGUUGUGUUCGCUUGUCUCUAUGGCUAUUGGCUUGAUCGUUGUGCUUGCUUAUCAUUCAAAGUUAUCAUCAACGUGCUUUCGCGGAGCUUUCGUAGUCUUUUCGCAGAUGUUUCGUGCAAAAUAAAAGUAAAUAUUACCCAUCACCGUUCGCGAAUCGAACUCGGCCAGUCGGUUUCAAUAAUGUCGUCCCUGGAGACGUUGUUCGCGGUAUUUAUUUCGAUCCUAAUAACACCAUUUCUGUUCUUCUUUCUCGGGAUCGUGUGUUUAGCCUCGAUCGGGAAAUCAAUUGGAUUACGACGUCUCUUCGCAAGUUUCCUGGUCAAAGUCUUCGAGGUAAGGCACUUCACUUGGAAAUUUUUGCUAUGUUACUGGAAAGAAAAUUUCACCGCGCGAUUUCACAAAAGAGAGGUUAGAAAAUACAGCAAUAAUUUCUUUUUCAGGUAGUUUGUCUUGUUGAUAGUUGCUUGAAAAGACUUAAGAGUUCUUGCUGCCACUCAUAUUAUACCUGAUAAACAAUAACCAAUGAACCCUGAAAAUGAACUGAAUGUAUUGUUCCUCAUAAAGGAACCUUUCACUGCUCAGUAAUUUAAUUUCAUUUGCGCAAUAAGGUGCAUGAGGUUCUUCUUUUUUAACUCUGAAAAUUGAUGAUUUAUUUCUAUCAAGUUUAAUAAUCAGUCGCAACAAUUCUUACUUAUUUUAAGACGUUUCAAUUGCAUAUCUAAUUAUCUUCCUGUUUCUUAUCACUCCCAAAAUUGAUGUACCUUUCGGCUUCUGUCAUUUCCGAACCUUAUGUUGAACACUGAAAUUUUUUUAUUGAGUUUUUAUUUAGAUUUAAAGCGUCAGUUCUUGUCGACAUAACUUGGUUUUCUGAGUUAAAUACUUGCGGCUUUAACUUAAAGUCAGUUUUUUGUAUUAAAGAAACGUUGCUUUUUAUGGUUUUUUUUUAAACCGAAACUUAACGAUAGCAGAACGACGUUUUUUCAAGUAAAAAAAGUGAUGUUGAUUUGAAUCCGCACGGAUUUAAGUUUAAAAAAACCAAAUUUUGUCGACAAGAAACGAUGCUUUAAGUCAAAAUAUAAUGCCUCAAGAAAAUUUUAUUCGGUGAACCUUCUUUUUGUAUCUCAUACUCUCAUAAGUCAAAAACCCUCUGGUGCAUGAUACAUGCUUUUGAGCCUAUAAAAUAUGUACCAUUGCUACUUAUUUACUUCUUUUUUUUGUAAUUUUUGAUUACCGACUAAUCUGAGCGGCGACUUAGAGUGUGUAGCGAUACUUGCGAACGAAGAAAAAUUGUGUUUCGUUAUGUGUAUAUCUUUGUAUAACGAGUGCCCCCCCCCCCCCCCCCUAGUUGGAACUAUCUCGGCCGCGAACAAUAAUUUGGCGGUCAAAGCACAGUGCGCGACGAAAACUAAUCAAUAUCAACUUCAAAUGAAAGCUUCGUUGUCAUUUCGGCACGAACUUUAAGUAAAUAAAUCACGAAGGGUGUUUAGUAAGCGUAGAAUCAUUUAGCUCGUUACUGAACACAAUUGCGGUGAAUGUCGUCGUGCACGCGGUGUUUCCUUUGAAAGGCGUUACCAUGUGCUCUGCGUGCUAAGGAAGAACCCCGUAUGAGCCUUUGGACGUAGGCAAAUCUCCGUAGAUAAAAUACAAAUUUUCAGGAAAAUCUAUGAAGAUUGUUCUUUGACAUUUUCGAUUAAAUUUUAUUCGCGACCAGGUCUAAACUAUCCGAAAUCAAGAGCAAAUAUUUGUAACUCUCUUCAAAACUUAACAUUUACUGGAGGAAAUUCGGCAACUCUCGAAUGUUCACGGCGUUUUUCCUGAGCACGGCAGUGCUUGACUGUUAGACAUUUUGGAGGAAAAUCUAGAGUGCGUCUGACUCCGAACCUAUGGCGCACACUGGCGGGUAGUCACGCUUUUGCGGCAAUAAUUCCAAAUUGUUGAAAUGCUUAACACAUGGAAGUAGUAGUUUGGUAUGAUCACUUGAUUAUCGGAAAUCAUUUUUAAAGUUGUAAACACCAACCCCCCCCCUUCACAAUUUUUGAGCAACUCGCACGUGAAAUGGAUUGCAAUAAGUAAAUGAUGUCGAAACUGUCCUGACUAAUACUGUUAAAAUGUGUAUAGGAACGAGAACAAGUAACUCAUUGCCAAAAUACAAUUUUUUAAAACCAUAAAUUGUAUAGGCAUUGGAAGUGAGCCACUUUUUAAAUUUUAACUCG
rnacentral:lncRNA from 1 species